AUACGGAGGUUGCAAGCGUUACUCGGAAUCACUGGGCGUAAAGCGCGCGCAGGCGGUCUUUUAAGUUGGAUGUGAAAGCCUACAGCUCAACUGUAGAACUGCAUCCAAAACUAUUAGACUAGAGUCUGGGAGGGGAAGAUGGAAUUAGUUGUGUAGGGGUAAAAUCCGUAGAGAUAACUAGGAAUACCAAAAGCGAAGGCGAUCUUCUGGAACAGUACUGACGCUGAGGCGCGAAAGCGUGGGGAGCAAACAGGAUUAGAUACCCUAGUAGUCC
rnacentral:rRNA from 1 species